rnacentral:tRNA from 1 species
GCCCAGGUGGUGGAAUUGGUAGACACGCCAGAUUAAGGGUCUGGUGGGCGUAAGCCCAUGAAGGUUCAAGUCCUUUCCUGGGCA